rnacentral:rRNA from 1 species
GAUGAACGCUGGCGGCGUGCCUAAUACAUGCCAGUCGAGCGAGCGGACGAGAAGCUUGCUUCUCUGAUGUUAGCGGCGGACGGGUGAGUAACACGUGGAUAACCUACCUAUAAGACUGGGAUAACUUCGGGAAACCGGAGCUAAUACCGGAUGAUAUUUUGAACCGCAUGGUUCAAAAGUGAAAGACGGUCUUGCUGUCACUUAUAGAUGGAUCCGCGCUGCAUUAGCUAGUUGGUAAGGUAACGGCUUACCAAGGCAACGAUGCAUAGCCGACCUGAGAGGGUGAUCGGCCACACUGGAACUGAGACACGGUCCAGACUCCUACGGGAGGCAGCAGUAGGGAAUCUUCCGCAAUGGGCGAAAGCCUGACGGAGCAACGCCGCGUGAGUGAUGAAGGUCUUCGGAUCGUAAAACUCUGUUAUUAGGGAAGAACAUAUGUGUAAGUAACUGUGCACAUCUUGACGGUACCUAAUCAGAAAGCCACGGCUAACUACGUG